UGAUGGCUGAGACUUCCACUGACAGCUUUGGCACUUGGGUUCUGAGUCAAACUCGAAAAUCCAUGUCUCACCACCAGUAUGCAUAUCUGGCCAAUAUCACUCAAGACAAGCAAAAUGAAUGGAUCAAGUUGAAAGGUUAAACAGACCUUGGGAGAAGAUCUCGGAGUGGGGCUCACAAGAGGAACCAUGACAAACUGGCAAACUCAGUGUUGCCUUUGAGAGAUUGAAAGCUCAUUGACAGAUGCACUGCAGAAGGGGGAGCAAGGAAACCUAGACUGGGAGGAUGCCAGGGAAAGCACAUUUUACAGAGAGGAAGAAAAGAAGUUCCAACAUCUGGGCCUGCUCGCCGGACAGCAGGAGCAACCAGCUUUGAUGAGGCAAGCAACGGGCAUUCGCUCACCUUCACAAUUUCAAGGAACACGCAACGAGAACAAGUCAGCGCUGUGCGACUGUCGGUCACUUCCUGCUGAAAACUACAGGUUCCCCAGAAACCAAGCCGGUAGAUUGUGCCAGCGAGAUUGGCAUGGCACAAGAGCUGGGGGAAGAGCCUGUGUUGCAGCCGCGAGGCAAUUGACCUCCUUGUUUCCCACAAGACUUCUGUGACUGGAAACCCACCGAAAGCGAAGUUCUUUUCAUGGCAGCUGCGGUCAUCGACAUUGUUGAUCAAGGGGACUAGGGCUGCUGUUGUGCUGACAAUCCUCAAGGAUGGGAGACCAGGCUAGGAGGAUGAGGGUCUGGUGGCUCUGUGCCAUAGUAGAAGAACCGGCACCUCUGCGCAUGCUGCUCCUUGACUCGUGGACCAGAUGUCCGGCCAGACAGAUUGUGCCUGUGCACCAAGCGGCCCACCCAUCAGCUUUCAGGGGCGCUCUUGCUGCAGCAGACAAGGUGGCUUGGCAGAAGGACAGGCCAAGGUGGUCGCAUAUCCCGUGCGGUUUACCAUGCCAGGUGCCCUGGACUGGUUCCCUUGGUGGGAACGUUUACCUGGUACGGGACCAACUGGCGUGCGGCAUCAGUUCGUCUGGACCAGACAUCCAACACGGCAGCCCUUUCACCAGCGCCCGCCCAGGCAGUGACGGGGCCCAACAGGUCCAUCUUGCAGUAGCAAGAUGGACCCUGCAGCUAACGCCAGUCACCAAGAACUGGUUCGUGGGCAACUGGAUGACAGCGGCAAGAUAAAACCUGCAGCCAGCACCAACUACCAACAACCGGUUCCCGGUUCACGAGCGGCUGGAUGAACGCAGCGCAUCAUGACUGCACGGUGCAGGGUGAGUGCCUGGCUUUGCGCUUGAGUAAUCAGAUCUUUUAGCCUAGACUUGUUAAAAACCUAUAUUGUGUAUACAACUGCCUAUUAUGACAUUGUGUUUGUAGCGUGUCUCAGCAGAAAGCAGCCUUCAGCAUAGAUCUGAACCAGCUACUAAAGCCAGACCUCAUACUUAUGGGGGAGUAAUUGGGACGUAGCGAUCUACUGCAAUUCUAAUCAAUUAAAGGUGACUCAGGAUUUAUGUCUUAUUGCAAUUGCUUCAAUGUAGUGGAAGAGAACUUGGGGAGUUGGUGCUACUUCGGUGGAUAGGCGUUUGUUUUCUGCUAUAUUUUCCAAGCUUAGAGUUCUUAGAGGAAAAUAGAAUUGAAACACUGGUAAUUUUUACUUGCAUUGCAAUUUGUGCGGAUUUAAAUACGAAAACACCGGUGUACUUAGAUUUAGGUGCAUGUUAAAGAACCCCAGGUGGUCCAAAUUAUUCCGCAGUCCCCCACUACAGCAUGCCUCAUAAUCAGAUCAUGGUUUUGGCACGUAAAACCCCAUAAUUUAAUUAAUCAAUUUGUGCAGGUUUUGCAACAAGUAUUGUGGAAUAGCUGAGUCAAAGCUUAAAGUAGUGACCAUGGACCUAAUGACUUUACUGAGGGCUAACUGUUGCAGUUGUGGGAAGAGCUCGAUGUUGAGGUAGAGGAUGACAGGUCAGAAGCUGAAAUUAGAGCCAUUUUAGAAAGCAACAGUAAUCAGGAAUACUUUGAAUACUUCGGCAAUUUAUUUUGAAAAGACCAGGAACAGGAAGCAAUUGAGCAUGAGCACGAAUUUAAAACACAGGAAUGGAUUAGGCAACAAGAUGAAAAGAUUGAAACUCUUAAGACUAGAGAUUGAAAGAAUGGAACAGGGUUUUGAAGCAAAGCAGCUGAAAUGUCGUGCACUGAAGGUGCGAAGAAGUAGCACGCACGGUUCUGCCGAUGGUAGGAAGAGGCUAAUCCCUGUGAGCCUAAAUGUACGUUCAUAGGUGGUGCCAAAUCCGUAGACCGUGGCAUAGCUGCCGAGAAGCCCAUUGAUGGGGACCGGAUUGAGCACGACGAGUUUACUGAGGGCUAACUUGUUGCGGUUGUGUGAAGACCUCGACAUUGAGGUAGAGGAUAGCAAACAGGUCAGAAGCAGUUAGGCCAGCUGUGGACAACUUGGCACAGUUAUCAAGGGAGUACGAGUACAUCGCGAAGGCAGCUCUUGCAGUAGUAGUCCAAAGUGACCCCGACUAAUUAGACAAGAGCACCAGUGCAGAAUUCAGUCGGUCAGAAAAGUGCUCUAAAGCACAGUGUAGGCAGGGCAGUGCAGUUGUUGACAGCUCCCAGGUUUCCAAGCUUUGUUGCACAAAAGAAAAUAAUAGCAUUGCCCCGAAGUGUUUGAAGCUGUCCGUGAGUUGAUGUAGCAAUGAGAGGAAUGACUUACCCGCAAAUCAUUCAGACUGUGCAGUUGAGAUAGAAAUCAUGACUGAUGAUAUGUGAUCUGGUCAGCACGAGAUGCGAGCAGAAGGCUCAGAGAUGAGCACCAGAAAGCGUGCUAAGAAAAAGCAGUGUCGCGGAGUCAGGAAUGCGGCAGAGAAGGCAACACGGCAGAAUAAAGCGAAAGGCGCAACUGUGGGGAAUGCAGUGAAAGAGUUAAAAAGAAGUGUUUUUUGUCACUUUAAAUGUUUCCAGUCAGAGUGCGUUCGAGCCGCCGGAUGAGAGAAAAAAAGAAGGGGCCAUUCGGUGCGGAGGUGGACAAAAGCCAGGGGGCAAUUAUAUUCCCCCUCAUUCGGUUCUUUUCAAGGUGUACUUUGUAUGACACAGGAGAGCGAGGCAGUAAGGCAACACAAAUUGGUCAUACGAGGCAGUGAAAUUGCAGUGCGAUGCCUAGAAGGCAUGUUAACUAUAUGUGAAGUGUCGGGGUCUGCAGCGAGGGGAAUGACCCACGUGCUCUUCGUAUUCCCUCACUGACAAGACAAGCUUUCAGACCGCGCCCACCUCAAGUAUGGCUUAAAGAUAUGACGCAACUGUGGCUAUUCAGAAUACAAAGUGGUAUGCAGGUUUUGUGGGAGCAAUAGUUUGUUUCUUUAUUUUUAGUGUUCAGUUGAACACUUUGAGAUCUCCGAGACUAGAGAUCAUUUGGAUAUGCAUGUUUCGAGCUUUGUUUAGAUUGAACUGUUUUAGAAGCUCAUCGAUAUUCUCAAAAUGAUGGUUUGCGCGCAGAUAAGUUGUUGAAACUUUGCUUUAUCGAUAUGUCGUUCUUUUUUUAAUCAGAUAGGCUUCUUUGUUGUGUGAGAUAGGCUUGCAGCAUCAAGUCCAGGUUAUUUGUUUGAAGCCUGUAGUGGCACGCUUGAGUAUCAGUUCACUUCAUGGAAGUGUUCGCGAGAUUUUUCUUGGAAAGUAAAACGCGUUAUUUGGAGGGGCCGUUGUUUAACUGCACCAUUUUAGAAAGUGUUUGUACCGUUACUUCAAAGCAUGUCUUGUGCGAACACAAAGAAGCAAAGUGUUGGUGAGUGUUUUGCACAUGUAUCUAUAAGAGGGCAGUGUUUUGAGUAUUGCUUAGAGCGUGUGUGUAAGUAUUUAGAAAUAAUCGCGAAUCUUUGUGUGGUUUUGAGGGCGUAACUUACACAAUAUUUUUUUUUGUUAUCUCUUUAAUGUGUGUCUUUUGUAGACAAGAGGAAGAAAAUGUUAGUGCAUGAGUCGCACAUAUGAGUUAAGAGUUUUGACCGCAAAGCGCAAUUGCGGUCAAAAACGUCGACCGCACAAAAUUUGGGGCCCAAAUUAUUGGGUCAAGCGAAGCCUGGUGGAUUUAAGCUGAUUUCGGGUGCUUUCGCGCCAUGUGGCCCUUUGUCACUGGAAAGGACUCUUCCGUAUUUGAUUGUGAAUCCUGGUCUAAUGUCAGAAUUGUGGGCUUCAGCGAAGGUUUAGUGAUUUGAUUGCUGCUUUUGUACUUUUAUUAGAUAGGGCAGGUGCGUUGCUUUGUUUACUAGACCCGAUGGCUCUUGGUGCGAGCACAGUGCUUUCCUUUGCCCUGUGGUCGUGUGUGUGAUUGCGUGUUUCCAGGACGAAGGCCACAACGAAGCGAAUGCUGAGACUUCAAGCUGCAGUGUGUCAUCAGCCUUCACAUCUGGAAGAUCCCUGAAAUCGCGACUGAACAUCAAUGCUUCGGGCAACCUGGUAGCUGGUCACCCUUAGGUCGAAUCACCCUAUGGCGGAGGAGUCUGUUACCUCUCAAAUGAUGGGCAUUCCUUGUGUGCUUGCCACGAUGCAGCCCUUUCAUCAGCGCCCGCCCAGAUGGCGACGAGGCCCAACAUAGACUGUGACCCAUGAACAAAGAAGCUCCCCUCAAGGUGACAACGACCACUGGAUUCUGUAAAUGCGGUAACCACCAUGAAGGCCAGGCUUCCCGGGCUGCUGCAAGCGACCGGCAUGGAGAUGCCACUAAUUGAUGCAAGGGGCCAACUUCGAGGACUUACUUCAGUGGGAACUGGGCCGACCUGAGGUUCCCAAUUUGCCACGUGGUUGCAUCGUAUGCAGAGGCGAUCGCACAUCAUUGGAGGCGGAGUACGGCAGAAUGGUGCAAUGUCAUGGGUAGGACAUUGCGAUCGGUUCGAUGAUUGUGACUGGCCGACACACUGUGAUAAAAUUCCCUGGUCUAGUCACCUAGAGAAGAUGACUGUUUUAUAAGCAGACACCUUUGGUGCAGUGAGGGUGUCAUGAUGUGUCCUGAUGUGUGCUGAGACAUUUAGUGGGCUUCCGUAUCUGGAGCCAGUGUAAAUAAUGGGAAAAAAAACUUUUUCUUUCGCUCCUACUCCCGGACGUACUCAUACCUGUGCGUGGAGGAUUCCUGGCCUAUACGCUACCCUGAGCCGCAACAAUUGGCAUUGAUCUAAGAAUGCAACUAAAUUGCAGUUGACUGAAUGAAAAACAGAAUAAAUGCUUCAUAAAUUUUCAGCCACUGUCUAACACCUCAGGGAGCACAACAGCGCUACUAAAACGGCUCGCUUAUGUUAUUAAUAACUACAUGUAUUCGCAAAGUGUAACUGACCUUUAUUGUUCUAAACGCAGUGCACUUGUUGAUUAAUGGACGAACCCUAAAUCACACAAACACCGAGUACUCGUGUUUGUUUGAUUUUUAUAUGUUUCAACAAGUGUGCUGCCUUUAGAACAAUAAUGGCCAACCAAUACCUCCUCAGCAAGUACAACUGACCUGUUCAAGAGAUAUGGCAUCUUUAUGAGCAUAAGCCCGUAGAUGAUGUGCCCAAUCUGGUUGCAGAAUAGUAGCAGGUCAAAUAGUCAAAACGAAUUGGCCAUAAUGAGAGUGGAUCCAGGUUUCCAAGUCAGAAUGCAAUCCAGAAGUAGAGAUUGUGGAAGGCCGGCACCUUUUGCUUUUGUGCUGGUGUUCAGGAAAUUCAGCUGGGUUUUGAUUGUGUGAUGUGGCAUCCAGGCUGACUUGGCACAUUCAGUGCAGGCAGUUGAGAGCCCAUAAAAAGACAACCUGUAGAAUAAAUGGCAUCCUUAUGGCCCUACUUAUUUUUCACAGUGACAUGCCCAAGUCAUUGUAGAUCUUGGCAGCUUAAGUAGUUGAGAUGAAGUGGCUGCAGUGUACAGGUUAGUUGUACUUGCUGAGAAGGUAUUACUGGGCUAGUUGGUUGACCAUUAUUGUUCUAAAGGCAGCAUACUUAUUGACACAUAGGAAAGCACUAAAUCGCACAAACACAAGCAUGAUCGUGUUUGUGUGAUUUAGGGCUCGUUUGCAUGUCAACAAGUGCAUUGCUUUUACAACAAUAAAGAUCAGUUAUACUUAGCGAAUACAUCUACUAAUACAAGCAAGCCUUUUGAGUAGGGUUGUGCUCCCUGAGGUACUGGACAGUUGCUGGAAAUGUAUGAACCAUUUAUGCUGCUUCUCAUUUCCUCUUUUCACAUUGUCUCCUUCCUGCUUGCUCUGGCAGGCAACAUGUAAUUAAACCUUGGCCCUGACGAAUUCACUAUGUCAUUGUAAUUCAUUUCACUAACGCUGUCUCAAUUAGAAAUGUUCCAGUAAACUAACUCGACAACAUUUUUAAUGCCAGCAGACGAGGACGGAAGGAAGACGUGGACAACACAAUGCGCCUAGUUCAACAAAUUUAUUCCCCCCCAAAAAACACCUUUCUACACCAUGCACAGUAGCGCCACACCUGAUCAAUAUGCCAAACUGAGUUUUCCAAAAAGGCCGCUUCUUUACCUAUCAGGUUGAUAGACAGAGUGCUUAUACAGCUUUCACCACUCUGUUUGAUAGCCUGUGCCUCAAUAAUUUCACGCACAUCUUUAUCUCUGUGCCUGGCCAAAGUCAUAAAAUCGCCAAACAAAGGAGUGCAGCCUCAUUCAUGACAGUGAACAGACAGGUGACUGUCACGGUAAUUUACAUUUAAGUAAUGCUCUCUUAUGUGGUCAUUAAGACAUCAUCCUGUCCGUCCUAUGUAUUUCUUACCGCAGGACAGCGGCAACUCGUACACCACUGCUCUCACAAAAGGAUUUCGGUGCGUUUUGGAACACCUGACCACAGACUUCCGGCACGGGUCUGUCAACCAACACACUCUGCUAAGUUUAUCGGGUGCUGGAAAAAGCAACUGUUGCGUUCACACGACUAGCAAUUUUUUUCAGACAGCGUGCCAUCCUGUGUAGGUAGGGCACAACCGCUACCUUUCGUUUGUUUUGUCUCUGUUCAUUUAUUGUAUCCCGAGUGCUAUUUUCUACACAUCUUUUCAGGAACUACAGAAAGCUGCAAGGACUUCGGAAACCCUGCUUUAGAUAAUCGUUCCGAUUGAUUCUUCAGGUUUGUGUAAAUCUUGUGAUGGCAUGGCUUUCUUAAAGCAUUACCAAGGCAAAAGUUAGCAAUGCUCCUUUUAACAAGUUUCAAAUGGGCAGAGUUGUACGGUAGCAAGGGCUAUUAGCUCUAGGCUUAUAUAUCAACACGUGUGUUAGUCCGAAAACUCAAGCUAGAUGUCUAAGAACUGCAGUGCUCUUUCGGCGGGCAAGUCCUUCGGGCGUCCGAAAGUCUGUGGUCGGGUGUUGCAAAACGCAUCGAAAUCCUUUUGUGGAUUGUGAAGAGGCAAUCGUGUACGAGUUGCCGCUGUCCUGUGUAAGAAGUACAUAGGACAGACAAUGUCUUAAUGACCGCAUAAGAGAGCAUUGCUCAAAUGUGAAGAAUUACCAUGAGUGUCACCUGUCUGUUCACUGUCACGAAUGUGGCUGCACUCCUUUGUUUGGUGAUAGUGUGGUUUUGGCCAGGCACAUAGAUAAAGAUGUGCGUGAAAUUAUUGAGACACAGGCUAUCAACCAGAGUGGUGAAAGUUGUAUAAGCACUCUGUCUAUCAACCUGAUAGGUAAAGAAGCGGCCUUUUUGGAAAACUCAGUUUCGCAUAUUGAUCAGAUGUGGUGCUACUGUGCAUGGUGUAGAAAGGUGUUUUUUCGAAAUCCUUCCGUGGAUUUUGAAGAGGCAGUGGUGUACGAGUUGCCGCUGUCCUGCGGUAAGUACAUAGGACAGACAGGACAAUGUCUUAAUGACUACUUAAGAGAGCAUCAUUUAAAUGUAAAGAAUUACUGUGCUAGACCAACACAUGUGUUGGACAUAUAAAUGUAGAGCUAAUAACAAUAAGCCCUUGCGACUGUACAACUCUGCCCAUUCGAAACUUGUUAAAAGGAGCAUUGCUAACUUAGGUCUUAGAAAGGCAUUAAAAAAGUUGUGCCAUCACAAGAUUUACACAAGCUUGAAGAAUCAGUCAGAACGGUUAUCUAAAGCAUAAUUUCUGGAGUCCUUAAGGGUUUCUUAGCAGAGGGGUUGCUGAGAAGAUGUCGUGUAGAAAAUAGCACUCGGGGCACAGCAAAUGAACAGAUACAAAACAAAAGGUAACAGUUGCGCCCUACCUACACAGGACGGCACACUGUCUUUAAAAAAUUGCUAGUUGUGUGAACACAAGAGUUGUUCUUUCAGCUCCAAAUAAACUUAGCAGGGUGUGUCAAUUGACAGACCCGUACCAAAAAUCUGCAGUUUCGUGUUCCAAAGGCAUCGAAAUCUUUUUGUGGAUCGUGAAAAGGUAGUGGUGUAUGAGUCGCCGCUGUCCCGCAGUAAGAAGUACAUAGGACAGACGGGAUGGUGUCUUCAUGACUAAAGAGAGCAUCGUUUAAAUGUGAAUAAUUACCAUGAUGGUAAUCUGUCUGUUCACUGUCACGAAUGCGACUGCGUUCCUUUGUUUGAUGAACAGUACGGUGCCUGGGCUCUUGAGCACUUAUUAAAAUGUUUGACUGACACUAUUCUCUGCAGUUUAUUCAUAGACCAGUGCCAAGGUGAAAGAACAUACAUGAAGCUGGUGUCAAGAAGCAAAAGGCAGAUAGGAAAGAGAACGAAGAGAGUUGCAGUCCUUUGCUUCUCCAACAAUGGGACACCUACACAAAGAUGACUUAGACUGGAGGCAUCACUAAACUAUAGUUUUGUUUUUCUUCUUGUCGUCUGGGGAUAACUCGCAUGCAUCUGCAAUUUUACUCCAGCUAAUACCGCAAGUAACAGUGUAGUACUUACUGCAAAUAAUAUUAUGCCAGCUGUCAUGCCACUGCAUCGCGUUAAGGGCAAAACUGCAACUUUUUCGUUACACAGGCAUUCUGCAUAAAGGCGGCUAGUCCAAAAGAAACUUUGCAUGUGUGCACAGCAGAGUGACACCCCAUUCAAAAUUUGAUUUAAUAAUAAGCUUUACAUUGUUCAUAGUUUAAUUGUUUCAAGGCAUUCACUUAUGAUGCCAGGACAGAGUCUUGCAACAAAGCAGUUACCUCAUGAUUCUGAACUUCCUGCUUCUCAUGUGAACUCAUUCUGCCAUGUUCCAUCAAACACACUGACUUCCCAGUGAAAACACUUCAUCAAUAGAGCAUCCAAAUCAUGUCCUAAUGUCCGUGCACCAUUUCGGAGACAAAUAAGCCAUUUGGUGGAUGUCCAGUUAAGGAUAUCCUGCCAUGCAUGUCCCAAGGAUAUCGCACAUGGAUAUUUUUUGAGAUACACAUGAAUAUGUGUCCUGCAAGCGGCGGCGUCUUUGAGUUCCCUUGUAAGAUAAUUAUGUUUGCUCACAUGUUUGAAUUACAAUUCAAAGCUAUCAUGUCUGCAACUCGUGUGUGCAUUUUACCGAGCGAAUUUUCUGGCGCAAUUUACUUGGGAAAAUUAUGUUAGUUCAAUAAGCCACUUGCACUUAGCAGAAGGCUAGAAGAAUUAGGAGCAUACUGCACUUCCGCAUGCGUGCCUGGCAUGCAUGCGUAACGUGUGCACUCAAUGUACUAUCUGUUCUUGAUGUGUGGGCGCUUUGCCUGGUUGCAUCUGUCACGCAGGGUGUGCUGUGAAAGUAAUAGGCAUUACAGGAAACUUUCUGUGAAAGGACCUGGCACAUGUAUGUAAAAUGUAUAGUAUGUCCUCAUGAUGUCCCUCGCAGACUUGCAAGGCAUGUGCGCAGGACAUGGAAAGUGUGGCCAAAGGAUAUUUUGAGGGACUGUCCACAGGACGUAUUCGACACAUCCCUAGGAUAUCCAUUGGAUGUCAUUGUUGUCUCUGGGUUUCCACACGGCUGUUAUGCUGACGAAUGUAUGAAGUUACACACCAAAAGAAGGAAGUCCAGGACACCAUUAUUGAGUCGAGUCUCGUUAUAACGAAGUCGCAUAGGCCACAAAAAUACCUUUGUUAUAUGCAAUAUUCGUUGUAAGUGUACACACACAAAUGUCGGUGAAAAAAAUUCGCUAUCACUUCAAUGCAAGAAACAUUUUUUAAAUGCAAGCAGGGUGCUCUAACGGGCCAGCAAAAGAUCUCCUGCAGAUUUUGAUGGCCCGUCGGCAUCUUGCCAUGCUGAUACAAGGCAUGGGAGCAAGAAUAAAUGCUACAUGUGGGUGCUCUGCAUGUCGUACUGCGUACAAAAUUUUGGUUAUUAUUAUUCUAGUGUUAGGGGUAGGUAGCGGUGCUGCAGGGAAGUGUUAAAAAAUCAUGCAUAUAAAAAUUUGUCGGUGACAGUAUUUAAUAUUUUUUUACCAGAAUAUAUAAAUUAAGGCACCUGCAAACAAAAUUUGCUUCGCUAUACCCGAUAUAGAGUUGGAUACCACAUUUUUUAUUUUGUUAUAGCAGUAGGAUACUCCAUUGAAAUAAAGCAUAGCCAACCAAAUUUCAUAUUUACUUCAUCAUAUCCGAUAAUUUGUUAUAUCUGUGUUGGCUGUAUUGAGGUUUGACUGACAUUUCUAUUAUUGCAGAGUUCUUCGCUUACCCCUGAAAUUAAAGAAUAUGAGCCUCUUUACAUCAGGUCAUACAAAAUUCAUAGACUUGGCAGGAUCGGGCAUCAGGCUGGCAGUAUUUAAUACUACUUCAAAAACCUAGCAUGGUUUCCUCUUGGCUAGCUGUUCUCCCUAGCAAGACGAACACUUUGGGGGAGUGGGUAGCAUUUCCAGAGUGAUUCUUAGAAAGCCUUCAGGCUCUCCAAGCUUGGAGCAGAAAUGUAAUUUGUGAAUGAGAGUUUUUGUUUGGAAAACAGCCUUGCAAGGCAGCCUAUUACAUAAUUUUGCUAACUGUCCAUUGUGCUCAGAGUUGCAGAGAGCUUCUCCUGUGUUUUCUUGUUGGAAAUUUCACAUACAGUACCUGCAGCAUACAAUUUAUUCUUGAGCGAGUAAUACGAUUAUCGACCUCUGUGGAACAGGCAACUUUUGCGUUUUCAGGCGUCCAAAACAGACACCAGCAAGCUACCUGUCAAUGCCCUUCUAAAGUGCGAGAACUGUGUAAUAUUCCGAGAAGUGAUAUUGAUCUGGACAGCAACAGGCUUACGAAAAACAGAUACUGUGAAACAUUGAAUCCAUAAAUAAAACAUCACACAGCUACAGUUAACCAUGCACAUCACGAGGUCGUAUCACGAAUGCUUCCCCCUCAAAAUCUUCAUUGUAUUAUUCCUGAAAUUUAAGAGCCCUGAAAUUGAUGGACGUUUUCCAAAUCUCCUGUAAGUUGGUCUGUAAGGCUCUGCAGAUAGCCGAAAAACUCUUUUAAAAACUCGGACCCAUUGCGUAUCUGUUAAGAAAGUGAGUGCUAUGUUUUCUUGGGACCUGCUUACCCAUUGAGCGAGCUUUGAACUACUGCUGGUCCCACAUCACACUGCUUGUUGUGGGGGCCCCUCAAAGAAGCACAUCCUGCAUCAUCCUGAAGAACUGGUGCCGUGAAGUGCCCAGUGCCAAGCUGCCAUAAUGCCAAAUUUUCUGGAAUAGUGCACCCAGAAGAAAGAAGUACAGACUUUGCCGAUAAUGCAAAGCAGUGGCGCAAUAGCUGGUGCAAUAUUUGGCACAGUAAGCCUUGCACUGUUUCGUGUGGUAUUUAUUGUAGUAAAUAUUCGCAGGUGUGUGCAAGCAAUCUGCUUUAGAGAAGAAUGUUUUUCGGUGUUGACUAUAGCACAUGUCCUCAUUUGUAAAUGUGACAUUUGCCGGUGGUGAAUUGGAAAGACACUAUUUCUUCUUCUUUGUCUUUCUUACCCAACCUUUGACUCCUUACCACUGGCUUUGUGUAAAUUCUUUCUGGUCGGUGCUAGUUUAUAAAUUACCUAUAGGAGCAUGGCAUCUGCCAUUGUAGCUCUCCAGGUGCAUUUUUCUUUUCUCUUGUAGCAUCGACAGAAGCGCAAUAUUGUGUGUCGUAAAUGUUGCAGUUUUGUGCAGUAUUGGUUGGAGUAAACAUUAGAAUAUGCACAUGAAGCAAUCUACUAUUGAGAAAAUUUAAUUAAUUGUGGAGAUGGCGCUCCUGGUGGUAAAGUGAAGAGAGACGGGUAUUUUUUCCUUCUCUUUCCUAUCCUGCCUCUCGCACUUUACCGGUGGCUUCAUUUACGUUCUUCCACCUCAGUGCUGGUUUAUAGGUAAACUGCAGAGUGUGGCAUUGGCCAAUCAGCAGCUAGCGGCGUGAUCACACUCUCCAGAUGCAAUGUUUUUCUCUGCUAUAGUGUCACAGCCGUCCCCGAUUCGUCGUCGGCGCGAAGUCAAUCGACGGGGUAGACAAGCUGGUUGGUCGUUCCGUACGCAAGCGAGCACAGUGAAAAGAGUCAGAGUCGGGAGUAAACAAAAAAACAAGAUAUUUAUCGGCUGAUAAAUACACACAGAUUAAUAAAAUACAAUAAUAAAAAAGACACAAGACAGACUAACACACCUGAGCUUAAUAUACACAAUGAUAAGGACAAAUAAAUACGAGCGAUUAACAGUACAUCUAAAAAUGAAACAGUGCGAGGAUCAAAUACACAAGAAUACACUUAACAGCAUUUCACUAAAACAACGUUCAAAAGAAAUCAAAGUUCAAAAGAAAACAAAUGGUGUCAUACGCAUGGCCGGGCAGCAGCAGCAAGUCCAUAAACCGUGGAAGUUGGUUCACAAAGCUUUCCCGAAGAAUGCUGGCGGUCCGAUCUUGUCGAGGUGGAUGCGAAUUGCUGAGCUGGGUUUCCCGGGAGUCUAGAUUGGACGUCUUCUCUCAAGCAGGUUGAGCUAACUUGAGGCAAACUACCGUGAGUUUCGUUGCAGACGCUGGUUUGACGCCUCGUACGUCAACAAGUUCCUCGGAGUUCCGACGUGGCCAGGCGGCCCAGGCGAUACUGGACGGCACUAGCCCCCUAAUGGCUUCUCAGCAGCGCAUAGGUUCAGCUUCUAGACUAAUCAGCAGGGCCCAAAACCUGCGCUUAAAUAGCCUCUCCUUUCCCUAGUUCCCUAGGUAGGGAAACUGCCGCUAUGUAGCGUUCUCCGAAUUCAGCGCUCUUAGCUCCCAACAAUCUUGGCCGCGCCCUUUCACUAUGGACGAAGAACCGCAGAUUAUCCUCUCUCCCAAUGUCAAGGGCCAAGGUCGAGCCCGGCACUACCACGUGGCCGUACACGCACACUUCGGGGUCCGUAAUCAGCGUGUCGCGUCUGGAAUCGAGAUGGCAGCCCGAGCGGCCACGACGCUUUUGACGCCCGUAAUUCGGCGUGUCGAUGUCGAAUGCAUUAUACGCUGCACAGUCAGGAGCCCACGUUUUUGACGCUCGUAAUUCGGCGUGUCGUUAAUCAGUGUCCAAACCAUUCGAAAAUAUGCCGCUCCGUGACAUAUAGAAUCGGAGAAAUGACUGAGAGGUAAAACCUGCUGCUCUGUGGGACUGGAGUUCGAAUCCACUCAGGGCACCGUGCAUUUUUUUAAUUUAUUUCUUUAUAAACUUCUCGCAAAGCACUCUGGGAUUGCUACAACAGAUGCCAGCCAACAUUGGCACCAGUGGUGGAUAUCAAAACAAUUAGGGAAGAGAGCCCAUAACAGUUAUCACUGUAAAAAAUAAGUGACCAGAUGCACACAUCACAAGCUGCAGCGAACUUUACUCUGAGCACUCGAUGCUUGAACUAGGAAGGUAUUUUGGGAACGAGAAUUUUCGAGUGCUUGCAAAGCCGCCUUGGGUGUUCAACUUGCAAGGACAUGGGAAGAUUAAUUGACUCUUCCGAUAAUCCUGCAUGUAAGAUGUCUGGCAGUGGGGUAUUGUCGUCUUUGUCACUCUUGCCCAAUAUAAUUUUAUUCUUCAAUUCCUCAAGUGUAGAAAAAAAUGUAAUUGAAGAAAGAAGGGACUGAGAUGAAAAAAAAAAUUGUUGUCCUUUUGUGCAAUUUAUUGAAUCCACCUUACAGUAUUUUUCACGCUUUGCUUGGUCACAUAUGUCAUUUAUUGCGGUUUGUGAUAAACUCCUCACAGCACAUUCAUGCUAGUGAACUGACAGAUGUUGCUUGCUGCAUUUAACAUUCUAUACAUUUUUGUCUUUAAUCUAUGGACGUAUCGGUACUCAAGAUUUUUUUCAGGUGUGGCAGCUAGGGCAUUUACAUGAACCCUACAAAAGUGAUUCAAGUUGGUUUGUCGGGCUGAGGUUUGCAUGUAGCAUUCGUAUAAGUAAAUACAGUAUAAUCUUGUUAAAUAGAACCUCAAGGGACUGGUGAAAUAGUUUCGAAUAACAGGAGUUAAUGUUUACUGAGAAAGAUGUACAGAGGUAUGGCAUAAUAUGUCAUACACCUUCUUAACACUGUUAGAGAUGCUAACCAUAAAGAAGUGAAUGCAGCAGCUAGUUUGCCCCGUGUUUCUGUUGGGGCUGACAGCCACUAGUUUAACUGGGCUUUGCUAGUUCCGGUUUUGAGGAGCCGCUGACGACAUUUCAAAAUAAAAACGUAGGUCUUACUGCUCCAGUCUGUAGCUGAAUAACAUGCAGUCGUGCAAGGGGAGCCCAAAUUAUGGUACAAGAGCACUGUAACGUGUUUGAAAUUACAUUUGUCCAUAUUUUGGUUGUCUGUGGGGCAAGUGGCAGUGCUGCGAAGCUGUCCAGGUCUGUACAUGCUAUGCGUUAAAAUCUAUCAAAUCUUUGCCUGCUUCAGUCUUUGCAGCCGCUUUUCAAGAAUGGCUUUUUGGAUAGAAGACAGGUGUCUAAAAAAUAUAUCUUCAGAUCCUGCUGAAAUUGACAACAAAGUAUGAAAUUGACAACAAAAAGCACAAGGCAGUAAUUAUUUGGAAGGAAUAUGGUCUAAAAUUGGUGUAAUGAUGUACUUUGCAUAUAUGACUCAUUUAAAAGUGGCAAUAUUGACAAUAUAAAAGAAUGUUUUAUUCUCAUAAGCAAAAGUAUUUGUAUUGUAUACAAGUGAUGUGCUAAGUCCUCCAUGCAAGUUGAGUUUGGUUUGCUCUGGCUAAACUUGGGGACAGUGGUGUGGCCUGCUUCCACCAAUCUGUGCAGACACUGCUAUUCAUAACAGGGUGAUCUGGCAGCAGUCUAACUUGUCCUCUACCAGCUCCAUGCAUACUUGAAGCUUCAACUGGUAAGCAAUGUGAGAGCAGGAUGUCGGACAUCUUGCUUUGCACUCGAACAUCUCACCACCACCACGUGUUUGAGUGCGGGAGCAGUUGUUAGACUGCUCCCGCACUCAAACCAAGCAUUUGAAAUCUGGCAAGGAGGAGCCAAUGAAAUCCUCUUACUUGGAUUGAAUGAACUGCAGAGGGAUGCAAAUUUAAGACACACAGCACUGAAUGAAUGUCUUGCACAUGGGCGACAGAGGUAGUUUUGCUUGCUUGCUUCAAAAAAGUCAAUCACAAGGCCUUUAAACAUAAGAAAAGUCAACAACACAAGAUGGCCUGGGAGCAUCACACCAUUUACCGCGAGAUAGUGUGCAAUCAGUGGUCAUGGCACAGUCCUAAAAGCAGGUUAAAAAGAAUAGUGGCAGCAUAAAAAGCUGCAUGAGGCUCAACUUCUACGUUUUCAAAUCAGAAAUAUACCAUGCACAAUCUCCACGUGUCCUAAUUUGGUGACAACAGCUGCAUCUAUUGGUGGAUCUGGUAAUUUCAUCAAAAACAUCGCUACAAGACCCUAGAAUGCCCACUUUCUCUCCUCUACUUCAAUUGCAGGAGUUCUUGAGACUUUCAUAGAGGCUGUUUCAACAGAUAUCAGAAAAAGCUUCCAAGUGCAAAUCAGCUGUAUUUCUUAUGUGUGAAUGAGUGACUUGUGGGAGAGUUUUAUAUAGUUGACUUGAGCCCAAAAAACAUUUCCACGAUUUUGUUCGAUGGUGUUUCAAUUUCAGGAAAAACAAACAGCCUGCAGGCGUAAUUAAAAGAAAAUGGACUCAGUUUGCUUUUCAUGCACUCUUAAAGCCACCUGCUCCAGCUUGCCCUAAUCCAUUGUUGCAGGCAGACACUGCCUAUCGAAAGAGUACUAAAUAAUUUGAUUAAAUCCACUGCAGCUAUGAGGAUACUGCUUCUUCCUGUUAGAACUGCUGGAGCAGAAACAAGCUUCUCCGCCUUGAAUAGGAUCUUUACUUCCGAAAAGUUUCACUCAACUCCCAGUCAUGUGGACACACUCAUGAAAAAUUGUAUAGAAGGCCCUAGCAUUUGCAGUAUUAGAAGUGCAACAAACAUUUUUUUUGUUGUUGUUUAUCAACCAAGCAUACAUAGUCUGGGCAAAGGAAGCACAUCAAGUAUUGUAGAUCUGGGCAAGGGAUUAUCAGAGAUAUUUAUCUUAGGUGCUACUGCAAAAUACUUUUUGGGUAUCUAAUCUUUGUAUCAUGCAUUCAGCAAGGCUGUACAAAACUAAGAUAAUUAAGGUAUUGUGUAUCUUAAAAUGCAAGGUAAUCCUGUCAUGAAAUCCACAAAGGUGCCCAGAGUCGCAGAGGGCUAGCAAGUGAUAGUUAAAGCUUAUUCUAAGAGGUGGUGAAUCUUUGCUGUCCUAUUUUCUAAUAGUAAUAAGUAACAACUAAAGACAAUCUGGACUAUGGAGAAUGCACAAUACAGUGCCACCUAGAAACUACACACUUUUCUACUGGGGAGCACCAGCCCAACCUUUUAAGACUAGCAUUCUGUGUAGGUGCUAUCAUUUUCAAGAAGCUGCUGCAAGAGGCCACAUUUACCUAGCUCUGAUUGGUUGGUGAAGCCUAGAAUGAGAUUGUGGUACUGAGACAAUACUCAUAAGCACUAUGAUGGCUUCUUGGAGCUUACACAUGAAAGGUGUGCCUUGAAAGGAGCAUUCAUCUGAGUGCAUCUAGAAAUCUGCAAAUAGCCCAAGUGUGGGAGAGAGCCAGCUAGCUAUUGAGACUGUUCCUGGAAGUGAGACCUGCCAGCUGCCUGUCUUCUUACCUUUCAUGCAGGGACAAUGUGCUUGCGGUUUUGAGCUGCUAACUUUUCUCUCACGAAGGCAGAGCCAGUGAAAGUGAAUUGAAGUAUACGGAGUUCUGCGAUGGCUUCAGCCCAUCUGAUUGGCUUUAUAGUAUGUCACGAGGUUCUGGCUUAGGGAUCUGAGAAAGGCCAAGGCUUUCAAAGAGGACACCUUGGGUGUGCUUCUUACUAGCUUAUAAACUCCUGUAAAUACAUACUAUGUAAAGUAAACCAGUUGCUCUUCGAUCUUUGUCGGACUCCUGCUCUUCACUUUGUCUUUCUGCCCAGUGUAGGAGGGAUGAUUAAUGGCGUGGGCCAGCUACCAGUUUUGAGAGGUGCCCAGCACAACCUUUUAUAACCUUAAUUUUCUUGAGAUAACAGGAUGCUGCAUGUGGGCCUUGCACAUAUUGAUAACAAGAACCAAGUCAGGCAGAACUAACACCCUACAUAAUUCUUAUAAAAAUAUAUCACUAAGGAGCUAUAGUUUGCAAACAACCUAAGACAUUUUUAUCAGUUUAUAAAGAUUACUUAUUGACUUGGCAUGUUUCAUUGUCUUAGAGUGUGUGGUAUUGGAAGUAUGUGCCACAGUAAAAUGGGGCUGGGCUUCUGAAGCUGCCCUUUGACAGCCUUUUAUAAGAAUGCAAAGAAGCACCACAAUAGAGCGAGUGCUGAUACCAAAUGUGGGUCAUCACUCAGAUUUUGUACGCCAUGUGUGAGUAGGGGUGUGCGAAUAUUCUCAACUUUCGAAUAAUGAAUCGAAUAUUGUCUUAUUUGAUUCAGUCUUCAAAUCAAGUAUUCACUAUUUAUAAGUACGAAUAUUUGUUCUAAUAGUUUUUUGAAUAUUUAAAAUCGUCAACUGUACUUAAUCAAGUAUAAAAAUUCAAGAAGAUACGGUAAAUUUCAUUCCUGCAGCUAUAGCAACAUGAAAUAUAUGAAGUUAUGUAAUGGAACAGGCUACAUCGCUUGGGGAGCCAAAUUGUGCUGUCUAAACUGCGAUCAUUCACACUCUCCGAAGAGUCCUGUGUAUGUGAACGAACUGCGUAUUUGUUUGUAAUGCUCCGUUUAUGUUUUUAAUAAACAACACUUCAUAACAUGCAAUGUAACGACUGAAACUUGCUAAGUUUAUAUACAUAGAAUGUUAAGAUGGUGUUACAUUAAUGGUGUAAACGGCCAUUCAUUAAUCAAAUUCGAUUCAUAUUCAAUUUGGUCUCAAAAAUUACUAUUCACACGUCCAUAUUUGCAAGUUCUUUCUUUUUUCUUGGCCGCCAUUUUUUCUAUUUCUCUUUCUUUCAUUAAAUUUAUCCCAGAGCUUAGGAACAGUUUACUUCUUUAACUUUUGAAAUAAAACCCUUGGUUUCCAUUUUCUGAGUUCACCUUGCAUUUUGCCUUGAAAGUCAAAUUGGCAUUUUUUUUUUUUCAGAAGGAUGCGUUGGCACACACUGCAUGUUGUUUGAAAAUGGUGUUUAGAGUACUGUAAUGGUUUAUAACACAAGUGUUCUUGAUAUUGUGUAGCAGAGCAAAGAGAUUUUUAUACAUGCCUGCCUAUACCCAUCGGAUUAUGUGACUGCAGCAUUAUUUAACCAAAGAUAAUGCAAAUAUAUACAAUGAAAAUGUUGGAAGUUCUUUAGAAGUGUGUCUGGGACAUUCCGCAGCGAUGUCGCCACUCUCUAGAUCUGUAGCCCACAACACAGCAAGGGCAACUCAUGGUGAUCGGGAAAAGUGUUCUGUAAUCUCCCAUGAAAAUAAAAUGAGCUAAAGAACUUCCAAAGGGAAGCCUCAGUUCAGUUAUUUGGAUGUAUACUUCUUCAAGAUCUCCUGUAGCUGGGCUAAUUCCACGUUAGUAGUGGUCCAAAAAACUCCUUUAUUAAGUUUAUGAGAAUAUGUUAGACCUUUAUCUCUGUUUUCCAAUAACCGCAAUUAAUUUAUAUCAGAAUAACAGAAGAACAGCCAUUUAUACGAUCAUAAAAAGAAUUUGUCUGGAUAAAAAUCACCAGCCCUUCCCCUGUCGAGAAAGUGGGGGUAAGCAAAGCUUGUCGUGUGUGUAUCUGACCUUCGUGGUGAUUUUCUUUCUUUCACUCUCUCUCUCCCUCUCUUUUUCUCUCCCUCUCUCUUUCUUUCUCUCUUCCAUUCUCUGACCUUUGUGGUGACUUUCUUUCUCUCUUUCCUUCUCUCUCUAUUUCUUUCUCUCCCUGUCACUUUCUCUCUUUCUUUCUCACUCUUUCUCUCUAUGUAUCUUUCUCUCUCUCUUUAUUUCUCUAUCUCUCUUUCCCUCUCUCCUUAUUUCUUUAUUUCUCUCUCACUCUCUCUUUCUGUCUCUUUCUUUUCUCUUUCUUUUUUGUCCCUGGUAUGUGCCAUUGAGCUUGGACCUUUUCUGCACUAUUGCCAAGAUCGGCCCACUUUUCAGCGUGACACUGCCGCCGCCACCACCACCACCAUCGCUGACACUUGUGAGCCUAUAAAGCUUCGCUUAAAAAAUGGCCCCCAUAGUAUAGGAUUCGAACUCAUGUCUUCUCAUUCGCGAGCCUGAUGCUUUAAACAUCGUACACCGCAGCUCUUUUUUUUUUCUGUACGGCAUGGUAAAAGGGCAGUAGCUCUCUACAACCAGUAAUGCUUAGUUACACACUUAGUUAAUACUCAGGCAGGCAAACACAGGCAUCUAACAAGGACAAGCCUUCAGGCUGCUGCUCUUGAGCCGCACACUAUGUACAUAAGCCACUGUUUCCCGAAUAAACAAUUUCGGUGAUCACGGGGUUUCUGCGUGUUUAUCGUGCAUCCUACUUUUCCACAGACUAUGUAAGCCAUUUAGUACGAACAUGUUAUAUUAUGGGGGAUCUUCGAGAUUUUUGA